AGUGAACGCUGGCGGUAGGCCUAGCACAUGCAAGUCGAACGGCAGCACAGUAAGAGCUUGCUCUUACGGGUGGCGAGUGGCGGACGGGUGAGGAAUACAUCGGAAUCUACUUUUUCGUGGGGGAUAACGUGGGGAAACUUACGCUAAUACCGCAUACGACCUACGGGUGAAAGCAGGGGAUCUUCGGACCUUGCGCGAUUGAAUGAGCCGAUGUCGGAUUAGCUAGUUGGCGGGGUAAAGGCCCACCAAGGCGACGAUACGUAGCUGGUCUGAGAGGAUGAUCAGCCACACUGGAACUGAGACACGGUCCAGACUCCUACGGGAGGCAGCAGUGGGGAAUAUUGGACAAUGGGCGCAAGCCUGAUCCAGCCAUACCGCGUGGGUGAAGAAGGCCUUCGGGUUGUAAAGCCCUUUUGUUGGGAAAGAAAAUCAGCAGGUUAAUCCCCCGCUGUUCUGACGGUACCCAAAGAAUAAGCACCGGCUAACUUCGUG
rnacentral:rRNA from 1 species